AUGUCUGGAAAUCCAGCAGCCACGGCCUCGGCGGGGUCGCUCGCCGAGGCGCCCGUGCCUGUCGCCGCCGGCGAGCGCGGCCUGUCCGUGUCGCAGGCCAUGUCAAAAGUCAUGGAGAAGGGCAAGACGGCGUUCAUCCCGUACAUCACCGCCGGCGACCCCGACCUGGCGACGACGGCGGCGGCGCUGAGGCUCCUCGACGCCCUGGGCGCGGACGUCGUCGAGCUCGGCAUGCCCUUCUCGGAUGCCUCCGCCGACGGGGCCGUCAUCAAGGCCUCCGCGGCGCGCGCGCUGGCCGCUGGCGCGACGGCUGACGCCAUCAUGGCGAUGCUGAAGGAGGUGACACCGCAGCUUUCCUGCCCCGUGGUGAUCUUCUCUUACUUCAGCCCCAUUGCACAGCGAGGGAUGGCGAGCUUCGCCGCCGCCGUCAAGGAAGCCGGCGUGAAAGGUCUUAUAGUACCCGAUCUUCCUUACGCCGAGACAAGUGCUUUCAGGGAUGAAGCCAUCAAAAACGAGCUAGAGCUGGUGCUACUUACAACACCAUCUACGCCGUCGGAGAGGAUGAAGGAGAUCACUGAAGCUUCAGGAGGCUUCAUUUACCUUGUAAGUGUCGACGGAGUUACAGGUGCCCGUCCAACCGUGAACCCGCGCGUUGAGAGUCUUCUUAAGGAGAUUAAGCAGGUCACUGACAAGGCAGUGGCUGUUGGCUUUGGAAUUUCGACCCCUGACCAUGUUAAGCAGAUUGCAGAGUGGGGUGCGGAUGGAGUGAUCAUCGGGAGUGCAAUGGUGAAGCAGUUGGGUGAAGCGACUUCUCCAGAAGAAGGGUUGAAAAGGUUGGAAGUCUAUGCCAGGGGCUUGAAGGAUGUACUGCCAUGA
rnacentral:rRNA from 1 species